rnacentral:rRNA from 1 species
GACGUAGGGCGCGAGCGUUGUCCGGAUUUAUUGGGCGUAAAGAGCUCGUAGGCGGUUCGUCGCGUCGGCUGUGAAAUCCCGAGGCUCAACCUCGGGUCUGCAGUCGAUACGGGCGGACUGGAGUUCGGCAGGGGAGACUGGAAUUCCUGGUGUAGCGGUGAAAUGCGCAGAUAUCAGGAGGAACACCGGUGGCGAAGGCGGGUCUCUGGGCCGAUACUGACGCUGAGGAGCGAAAGCGUGGGGAGCGAACAGG